rnacentral:rRNA from 1 species
AACUCUGAGCGUGGAUCACUCGGCUCGUGCGUCGUCGAUGAAGAGCGCAGCCAACUGCUGUGAAUUAGUGCUGAAUUUGCAGGCAUAUCUUGAACAUCGACAUCUUGAACGCAUAUUGCGGCCUCUCAGGUCUCCCCUGUUGGCCACGCGCUGGCCGAGGGUCG